GACGAACGCUGGCGGCGUGCCUAAUACAUGCAAGUUGAGCGCUGAAGGUUGGUACUUGUACCAACUGGAUGAGCAGCGAACGGGUGAGUAACGCGUGGGGAAUCUGCCUUUGAGCGGGGGACAACAUUUGGAAACGAAUGCUAAUACCGCAUAAAAACUUUAAACACAAGUUUUAAGUUUGAAAGAUGCAAUUGCAUCACUCAAAGAUGAUCCCGCGUUGUAUUAGCUAGUUGGUGAGGUAAAGGCUCACCAAGGCGAUGAUACAUAGCCGACCUGAGAGGGUGAGCAGCCACAUUGGGACUGAGACACGGCCCAAACUCCUACGGGAGGCAGCAGUAGGGAAUCUUCGGCAAUGGACGAAAGUCUGACCGAGCAACGCCGCGGGAGUGAAGAAGGUUUUCGGAUCGUAAAACUCGGUUGGUAGAGAAGAACGUUGGUGAGAGUGGAAAGCUCAUCAAGUGACGGUAACUGCCCAAAAAGCAACGGCUAACUACGUG
rnacentral:rRNA from 1 species